GUUAAAAAAGGAAUAACUUUUUCCUACGUUUCCCCCUCUCAUUUCCCCUGCUCCGGCGUUUCCGAGCCCCUAAACCGGAGACAUUUGGAAACACUUCUGACCCGUUUUGGUUUGGAAUCUGCGGGGUUGUGAUUCAGUCUCAACGGCCGCAAACGGACACCUUUGGCGAUACCCACACUGACGCCAACGUUUCUCCGCCUGAUUUGGUCUUAUCGGUCACGACGUCUCGUUCUCUGAGACUAAGCUACUAACAUUACCAUGGCAACUACCAGGAACGGGUGGAGUAUACAUGCUGCCUCCUGUUUAUGCCCAGUAUACGAGAAUGUGGAUGAGAUAUGAGGUUUGGGCUCUACACGGAGAUUAGUUUUUCUACUGGAGCUAAAAUCGCUUGGGUGCACGGAGAUCGCUUUCGGCUCCAAACUC